AUUGAACGCUGGCGGCCGGCUUAACACAUGCAAGUCGAACGAGUGGCGGACGGGUGAGUAAUGCUUGGGAAUCUGGCUUAUGGAGGGGGAUAACUACUGGAAACUGUCGCUAAUACCGCGUACCAUCGGAUGUGCCCAGGUGGGAUUAGGUAGUUGGUGGGGUAAUGGCCUACCAAGCCGACGAUCUCUAGCUGGUCUGAGAGGAUGACCAGCCACACGGGGACGGAGAAACGGCCCGGACUCCUACGGGAGGCAGCAGUGGGGAAUAUUGCGCAAUGGGGGCAACCUGACGCAGCCAUGCCGCGUGAAUGAAGAAGGCCUUCGGGUUGUAAAGUUCUUUCGGUGAGGAGGCGUUAAUCACAGAAGAAGCACCGGCUAACUCCGUGCCAGCAGCCGCGGUAAUUC
rnacentral:rRNA from 1 species